rnacentral:rRNA from 1 species
AUUGAGAGGGGCUGCUCCUAGUACGAGAGGACCGGAGUGGACGCAUCACUGGUGUACCAGUUGUCUCGCCAGAGGCAUUGCUGGGUAGCUAAAUGCGGAAGAGAUAAGUGCUGAAAGCAUCUAAGCACGAAACUCGCCUUAAGAUGAGUUCUCCCUAGCUAUAAGCUAGUAAGGGUUGUUGGAGACUACGACGUAGAUAGGUCUGGUGUGUAAGCGGUGUGAGCCGUUGAGCUAACAGAUACUAAUUGCCCGAGAGGCUUAACUAU